UACUGUUACUAGCGUCUUUAUUUGCUAUGCAGCGCUUAUGUUCUUUAAUUCGGGAUGCCGAAUUAAAGAACAUAAGCGCUGCAUAGCAAAUAAAGUCGCUAGUAACAGUA